UGACGGGGGCCCGCACAAGCGGUGGAGCAUGUGGUUUAAUUCGAAGCAACGCGAAGAACCUUACCAGGUCUUGACAUCCUUUGACCACUCUAGAGAUAGAGCUUCCCCUUCGGGGGCAAAGUGACAGGUGGUGCAUGGUUGUCGUCAGCUCGUGUCGUGAGAUGUUGGGUUAAGUCCCGCAACGAGCGCAACCCUUAUUGUUAGUUGCCAUCAUUUAGUUGGGCACUCUAGCGAGACUGCCGGUGACAAACCGGAGGAAGGUGGGGAUGACGUCAAAUCAUCAUGCCCCUUAUGACCUGGGCUACACACGUGCUACAAUGGGAAGUACAACGAGUUGCGAAGUCGCGAGGCUAAGCUAAUCUCUUAAAGCUUCUCUCAGUUCGGAUUGUAGGCUGCAACUCGCCUACAUGAAGCCGGAAUCGCUAGUAAUCGCGGAUCAGCACGCCGCGGUGAAUACGUUCCCGGGCCUUGUACACACCGCCCGUCACACCACGAGAGUUUGUAACACCCGAAGUCGGUGAGGUAAC
rnacentral:rRNA from 1 species